ensembl:lncRNA
AGAACACUUUCCACAGACAGUUUUCCUGCCCGUUGGCUUGUUUUAACCAGUUUUCUACCUUCAGCUGAUUCUACCAGACACUGAAAGGACUCUGAUAGUUCGCAGACGGGUGCUCUGCUUUGGAGUGUGACGAUGUCAUCGGUGAUGUGGAGAGUGAAGUUUCUGUUUCACCCACAGCGUGCUUUAGGGCAGCCAGAGUGAAAGUAGCAGUUCCUCCUGAAGGUCAGAGAUUGCAGCAUCUGAGGGCCUCUUCAAAAGAAGACGUAGUUGAUGAAGGCGUUCUGGAGCAGGACCAGAAAGACCACGACCAAACAGCCAUGAG